UUUGGAAUUGUUCACAGGGUGUGGGGCUUCUUCAGGGGCGGAGCUCCAUGGCGUGGAGGCAGAGCCAUGGGUGUUUAAAGGAGGACUAUCUGGAGAGGUGCAGAUGCUUCUGCCUAUGGGGACCAGCACUGAGUUGUUCAGUCACCCUCCCCCUCUGUUCCCCACCUCUCGACUUUAUAAUAUACGGCCAUUCCAGCAAAAAGACAAGGUGGAGCUGUACCGAAUGGUGCGUCAGUUGCAUCAGAGGGGUAAAGGGAGCCAGGAUGCUGCCAUCUCCCAUCCAGAUUUCAUUGGG